GCACAACCAAAAACAAACAAACAACAACCCCAAACCCUCCAAAGCAACGGAGAAGGUGAAGACAAGAAAAAGCCCAUUGUACUUGACAAAAAAGUAUAGCUCCCCAAAUAAAAGACUGAGUGUCUGAAUACUUUUCUGCUCUUGAGAAAGGAAGAAACAGAGUCUAUGAAAGGACAGUGCAAAUGUGAACACUUGAAAAAUUCUGAGUCCUCCACUACAGUGUGAAAUUCAUCAUCCGAAUUCUCAUAGAUUUAAGCUUCACGAUUUGUGAGGUAUUGCAGUGAAAUUAUUUGGGAAGCAGAGAGUUCUAUAAGCAUCCAGCUGUCAGAAUUCAACUGGCCACAUGACUAAUGACUUUGUGAGGCACAUUCAGGGCCUUCCAUUUCCCAAGCACUUGAUAAACAUGGAGUAAUCUCACAGUGCCCUUGUGAGAUAUUAUCAUGUUCAUUUUCCAUAUGGUUAACUGAGCCCAGGAGGUUAAAUGACGUGCUCAGAGGCCACACACACAGUCAAUGACAUCAAACGCUCAGAACGAAGGCGCUCCCAGGUCCCACACCUCACAGUAGAUUGCUGAACCGAAUCCCUCUCCUAGCACCAUUGAGAAGCCUGAAUGACAGGCCAGUGCGGUAAUAGAUCAUACUUUACAGCUGAGAUAAGUGAGGAUUAGCAUGCUGUCCCAUGCAGGUCAGGGCUGGCCCCUGGAAAGAGAGAGAGAAAACGAUGCUCUGCAAGACCAUGUGACGUAUAAAAGGAAGAGUAGAACCAGACAUGGGUGAGAUCUCUCUGUGAAUUUCCAAAGACCUUUAUUUACCAAGAUGGGAGGUGGAAUGCCAGUGGAGACAGGCAGGCUAGGUGUAGUCUUUGGUUGACAAGCGUCUUAAAUCUGAACUAUGAUGCCCUUACCUUCCUUACAAAUACUUGCAUUCUUCUUUACCAUUCAGUUUCAAUUUUAAUUGUCUUAUUAUACUUCUUCCUAGCUUCAUAUUUCUCAAGCUGAUGCUCUUUGGGUCUAAAAAUAUGCCAAAAUAUUGUCAUACUGUCAACUCCUAUGCACAUGGCCUUUAAGAAGACCACAGUCUCUGAUGAAUUGGUUCACAUAAGGUGAAAUCUGACAGUCCGUAAUUGAGUAGCUCCCUAGGUUAGGAUACAUGCCUUUGAUUUGCAAUGCUAUAUUUUCAGCCAAGUCUUAAAACUUUUUUGUGCCUUAGUUAUUUCCAAAUGAAGAUAAGAGCAUGGAGAGAAUGCUGUUGAUGCUUUGCCCAUAUUCCCCUUCUAUACAGGAGCCUGCAGACCCAAUGACUCCAACUGCAUGCACUUGUGACUCUGCCUGCGGGCCUUCUCUGACCCGGUCAGAAACCUGGAGCGAUAGUGCCCUGAGAGUAGACCUCAAGCCAAGACUGAUGCGAACUGAAGCAAGAAAGUACCUUCUUUACCACUCAGGCCUUCAACAGAUUGGCUGAUGCCCACCCACAGAGGGAAAGGCAGUCUCCUUUAUUCAGUCUGCAGCUUCAAAUGUGAUGAUCUUCUGGAAACUCCUUCACAGGCAUACCCAGAGAUAGCUUUCUGGUAACUGAUUCUCCCGCUCAUAAACGCCUACAGGGAGCAGAGAGGUGGCUGCUUGAAACUGAAGGUAAAUGCACUGCCUGAUUUACUGGUACAGAAUCACUUUCUCCAUCUGCACUCCCUAAGCCCUCCCUGUCCUUUGAUCCUGAACUGAGCUGCUUUAAAAAGAAAGAUGCUUGGGGCUGGAACAAGGUCUGCCUGCUCCAAGGGGGACUGGAGGCCAUUCAUACCCACGUGAGUACAUUUGGAAACUUUGGGGAGAGGAAGACUUUGAAAAUUGAAGUUCUAUUGGAUAAAGGCAACUAAGUCAUUGUCCUAUGAAGUCCUAAUUGAAGGAAUUUGGGCAGGAUAUACAGUGGGGAAGGGAAGUAAAGCAUAACUCUGUGGAUGGGUCUCUGUUCAAAUCUUUUGCCCAUUUAAAACAACAUUUUACAAAAAAUUUAUGGCUGCACUGGUGGCAUAUGGAACUUCUCGAGCCAGGAACUGAAUCCAAGCCACAGCUGUUAUGCCACAGCUGUGGCAAUGCUGGAUCCUUUAACCCACUGCAUCAGGGUGGGCAUUGAAUUCCUCUUUGGCCCAUUUUUAAAUUGGAUUUUUUUGCCUUUUAUAUUAUUGAGUUCAAGAGUUCUUUAGAUAAUCUGGGUACAACUUCUUUGUCAGGGAUGUCUUGUGAGUAUCUUCUCCCGAUCCAACAGCACUUUUUACGUUGUUUUCAUUUCAAAAGAGCUCCUCUAAUAAAUUAUGUUUUGUUGAGGUCAAGACUACCGCUGUUCUUUCAAGGUUAUGCUCACAUUCUUUUGAGUCUCUUAAAAGAGCAGUGCAUUUUAUGUACAUUCAUUCCUAUUUAAUGCACUAGUGUUUACCAAUGUCCAUCUACCAAAAUACUUUGGCCAGUCACUGACUUGUGGUGAAUGCUUCUUAAAUUGCCUAUGGUUUCAGAUCCCUGGCUUAGGUGAAAAAUACUCGCUCACCACACUGAGGUGAAAGUCACAUUAGCUGUGUGAGGCAAGGGCCGUCUUAGCCUACCCCAACAUCGCUGUCCCUUUGCUCCUGAUUCAACACAGGAGGCAAUGUGCUUAGCUUCCUUGUAGCUAGGUGUGGUCUUGUGACCAGUCCCUGGAGAAUAAGCUGUCACCUUCUUUGAGAAAUUAAUAUUUCAUUGUUGUUAUCACUAUCUUUAGGCUUCAGACAAAUGCCAAUGGUCGUACAUAUUGAAAGCUUUACCAGAUGGAAGGUUUUUGUUCCUCCCUUUGUCCGUUUAGCUUUCUUUCCUCUCCUUUCCUUUUCCUUCCUACCUUUCCCGGCUCUCUCUUAUUCUUUCCCAUCGCUCUUCCCCCUUUCUCCAGAAGAAGAGCUUUAUAUUUUAGGGAUAAGUUUACAACAGAUAGACUAUAAGUGGUCAGCUGGUCUUAAAUGCCUUGAGGCUGGGGAGUGAGGCAGUAGGAAGUUUCAUUCUGAUGUAGAAGCUUUUGUCAGCUUCCAUUCUAGGCUCAUUUAUACAUCCUCUCUGGUACUUAACUUCAUUUGCUUUUAAUAAUCUACUCUUCUGUGGUUUUGACUUUCCAUUGCCUCCUACACAUCUGUUUGGAUUGAUAUUCUGCUGUUCGUCAUGCAAGCAUGAUUUCACUUUGAAAAUGAUUUCCUUUUGAUGGAUGCUCUUGUUGUUCAGGCAAGCAUGGUCUUGUGUUCUUAAGAUUCUCUGUUAAGCUGGUCUCAGCACUCCCAAAAAUCAUCCCUCAGGGUCUCAGGCAUUCACUCAUACUAGCUCCACACUUCUUUGUAAUUAAAUGCCAAAAAUGUUGCAUUCCUUGGAUUUAUCUAUAUCAGGGCUUGGCAAACUACAGCUGGUGGGCAAAAUCUGGUCUUGGCUUGUUUCUGCCUGGCCUGCGAGCUAAGACUGAUUUUUAUGUUUUUUAAGUAUUGUAAAAGCAAACAAAACACAAAGCAGAAGAUGUGAGAGGCUGUAGCCACAGAACCUAACAUAUUUACUAGGCUCUUAAUUGAAAAAGCUUGCCUAUGCCUGACCUAUAUGAUUAAUGAAGUUUCUGUCUAUGUGACACCCACCUCAUCACUGAAAACAAGUCAUAUGUCUUUCCAGGGCUGUUUUUGGUAUAGUUUGACUUUAAGUAUGAGCUGUGAAGACUAUAUAAAAUGCACCUUAGGGAGAUCCUGGGAAUGAUAUCAGGAGUUAGGUAGUGAUCUCCCAAGGCAGCCAAAACUAAGACUCAGUGAGAGAUCGUGUAUGAUUGAGACACACCAGACAAACAAUGGUUGUAAAUACAAGCCCCCAAGUGAAAAUACCAAGAAUCAAUGCUCCCAAUUAAAGUGAAGACUGAGCUGCUUUUCCUUUGGCCUUCUCCACAGCAAGAAGAGAGGCGUGGGGAGCUGUAGCUCCAAGGACUUAUUUACCUGAUGACAGGCAGUAAUCCGCCCAAAAAACCUCAGAGGGAGGUCAACCAGCACGAAAUUUCCCUCAUUCAUAUCAUUCACUAUGCACACUGCUCAUUAUACAGUGGAAAGGAACACGCUGUGGUGCACUUGCCUUCUAUAUUAUGACAUCUGCAAUCAACUUGAACACAACACUAGUUAUUUUUACACUGAAAAACUUUGACCCUAUGGUCUCCCUAGUGUACACAUGCAGCAGGUUUUUCCUCACUCAACCAUCUUCAACCAUCUCUCUACCUUAUGCCACAUACCCCUUCCUGUGCCUCUACCCAGGUAGGUCCCCACCUGGAAUGGCUCUCUCCUAAUUCUGCUGAUUGAAAUUGUUCAGCCUUCAAGCCCUGACUCAAACACCUUUCCUCAGAAACCUUUCCAGAUUCCCUCAGUCAGAACUCCUUCCUCUAGGCCCGAGGAUUCCAAUGGCCCUGGACCAAUUUUAAGCUUGUUUCUUGGCCUGAGGCUUCCCCACCAUGCAGAGAAGUAUAAAAUCCACCUGACACACCCAAAUGUGUCACAGAACUUGGCUUGUGAUUUCUGGUGACUGUUUUCCAACCCAACAUCCAGAAGGACAGCAAGCUUCUUCAAGGUUUAUCUAGACUAGUGGGGAGUUUUCCUGACCCCCUUUCCCUGGAGCAGGCAGUGCUUCAGGGUUCUGUCACGACCAAGGUCGAGUUAGGUUCCCAACAUCAUGGGGCCCAGGCUGAACUUCCUGUCCUUGAGGUGGCAGUCCUUAAGGCUUGAAUCCUUUCCAAUCCCUUUGGGCUGCUGCUACAUCACACUGCCAUUGCAUACUGCUCUGGCUUUGGUUUCUUUGUGUCUGCUUCCUACAUUUUUACCUUUCUUUUGUGCUAGGCUUGCAUUGUGGUGUUGUCUUAUGUUAUCUAGUAUCUCUGUGUUUUGGGAGCCUUGUGUAAGGACAAUGAUGCUGGAGGGAAGCCUGCUCACUCCAGCUCAUUCUGCCAUGUUGCCUGAUGGUCUCAGAGCAGUAUAUGAAGUUCUGUUUAAUUUUGGAAGUGGUCAUGAUUAUUCAUUUCAUUUCAUUUGAGAGAAUAGGAAGAUGCUGAAUAUGCUACUUAUGUAAUAUCACUACAUCUCUAAAUCUAGAUGUCUAGGGGUCCCACACAAUAUUGUUUCUAAAUUUUUCCAUCUAAAGAAAUAGAUCCCACAAGUUCCCAUUGUGGCUCAGUGGGUUUCAAACCCGACUAGUACCUAUGAGCAUGAGGGUUUGAUCCCUGACCUUGCUCGUUGGGUUAAGGAUCUGGUUGGAUCACAGGCUUGGCUUGGAUCCCAAAUUGCUGUGGCUGUGGCUGGUGGCUGUAGCUCCAAU
rnacentral:lncRNA from 1 species